AAAUUGAAGAGUUUGAUCAUGGCUCAGAUUGAACGCUGGCGGCAGGCCUAACACAUGCAAGUCGAACGGUAGCACAGAGAGCUUGCUCUCGGGUGACGAGUGGCGGACGGGUGAGUAAUGUCUGGGAAACUGCCUGAUGGAGGGGGAUAACUACUGGAAACGGUGGCUAAUACCGCAUAACGUCGCAAGACCAAAGAGGGGGACCUUCGGGCCUCUUGCCAUCAGAUGUGCCCAGAUGGGAUUAGCUAGUUGGUGAGGUAACGGCUCACCAAGGCGACGAUCCCUAGCUGGUCUGAGAGGAUGACCAGCCACACUGGAACUGAGACACGGUCCAGACUCCUACGGGAGGCAGCAGUGGGGAAUAUUGCACAAUGGGCGCAAGCCUGAUGCAGCCAUGCCGCGUGUAUGAAGAAGGCCUUCGGGUUGUAAAGUACUUUCAGCGGGGAGGAAGGUGUUGUGGUUAAUAACCGCAGCAAUUGACGUUACCCGCAGAAGAAGCACCGGCUAACUCCGUGCCAGCAGCCGCGGUAAUACGGAGGGUGCAAGCGUUAAUCGGAAUUA
rnacentral:rRNA from 2 species